UUGUUAAAGAUUAGAAGUUUAUCAUUUUGAAUUUUACCAUGCAGUAAAGAAGCUCCAAGAAGAAAAGAAUGAAUUAGGUCAACAGUAUGCAGCAAAAAUAGAUGUAUUGGAAGAAGUACAGAAAGAGGAGAGAGAUACUCUGACACUUAAACUAUCACAACUAGAGAUUGGUUUGAGGGAAAUAGAGACACAAUGGAAAGAGAAGUAUUGUGGGGACAUUGAAUUGGAGCAACAAGAACUGUACGAUGAGAAUCAAAUGCUUAAAUUAUCAGUAGCAGAGAAAGAAACAGAAUUAUUACAGUCACAAGAUUCUCUACUUGAGUUAAGGCAGUG